rnacentral:rRNA from 1 species
UGAGGAAUAUUGCGCAAUGGGGGAAACCCUGACGCAGCAACGCCGCGUGAGUGAGGAAGGUUUUCGGACCGUAAAGCUCUGUCGAGCGGGAAGAAAUGCAUGGUGGCUAAUAUCCAUCAUGCUUGACGGUACCGCUAAAGGAAGCACCGGCUAACUCCGUGCCAGCAGCCGCGGUAAUACAGGGGGUGCGAGCGUUGUUCGGAAUUAUUGGGCGUAAAGAGAGUGUGGGCGGCUGAAUAAGUCAGAUGUGACAUCCCUGGGCUUAACUCAGGACGGGCAUUUGAAACUAUUCG